CACACACACACACACACACACACACACACACCAUUCAUAAGUAGUAACACAACAUACAGGCAAAUUAUUUAUAUACAAUCUUGUACACGUCAAAACAACAACAACACCAACAACAACAAUAAUAACGAUAAUAAUAAUAAUUAUAAUAAUUAUAAUAAUUAUAAUAAUAAUCAUAAUAGUAAUAAUUAGUCAAUAUUUUCCUUAUAUUUUCCUUUAUUCAAACUAUUUAACACACAAAAAGGUGCAAUAUGAUACAAGACAGAGAGAGAGAGAGAGAGAGAGAGAGAGAGAGAGAGAGAGAGAGAGAGAGAGAGAGAGAGGGAGAGAGAGAGAGAGAGAGAGUAAAUAGUGCUAGUUGGAAAGAGUUAUGGAAGUACUUACGGUAAAAAAAAGUUGGAAAUAUGGUGUUUUGAUGGUGUUUUAAAGAGAGUUUUGGCCUUAUAAGAUACCUAGAGCUGUGUAAGAGGUAGGGAGAGCGAGUGAGAGUAUGUGAGAGCGCCAAAUACGAGUCUGAAUGCGUUUUUAAAGGAGAAACUUAAAGAGAGCUGAAGAAAAUUGAGAAUGUUUGAGAAGAUCGUGUUUUUUUUGGUAUUUUAAAGAGAAACUCGGCCGUAAAACUUUCUUAGAACUGUGUGGAAGGACCGGGAGAGUGUGUGAGUGUGAGGGAGAGCGUGUGAGAGCAAUGGAGAGUGAGAUAAUACAGUUUGUAAUGGUUUUCAGAGGGAAGACUUAAGAAAAACGAAGAAAAAGAGAGAAUUACUUAAAGAAAAUGUGAGUUUGGGCAAAUUUUGAAAGGGAAACUUCAGGAAACAAUUAAAUUUAUUCUUAUUUUUGUUUUUUUUAUGAUAAUUUAACCCGUGAGAGAGAGAGAGAGAGAGAGAGAGAGAGAGAGAGAGA